rnacentral:rRNA from 1 species
UACGUGUGAGGCAAGCGUUAUUCGUCAUUAAUGGGUCUAAAGGGUGCGUAGGCGGCGCGGUAAGUCGGGUGUGAAAUCUCGGAGCUUAACUCCGAAACUGCAUUCGAUACUGCCGUGCUUGAGGACUGGAGAGGAGACUGGAAUUUACGGUGUAGCGGUGAAAUGCGUAGAUAUCGUAAGGAAGACCAGUGGCGAAGGCGGGUCUCUGGACAGUUCCUGACGCUGAGGCACGAAGGUCAGGGGAGCAAACGGG